CAAUAGCGUAUAUUAAAGUUGUUGCAGUUAAAAAGCUCGUAGUUGAAUUUCUGUCAGGAGUGACCGGGCCUUUGGAUGAACUUCCAUUGUUUUUUGCUCUGUUUGUCAUCUCUAGACAUCCUGAAAUAUUUUUUAAAAAUAUUUCUCUUUUACUGUUAGCAAAAUAGAGUGUUCCAAGCAAAGCGUAGUUUUGAAUACAUUAGAAUGGAAUAAUAAGAUAGGACUUUGGUGCUAUUUUGUUGGUUUGCACACCAAGGUAAUGAUUAAUAGGGACAGUUGGGGGUAUUCGUAUUUAAUUGACAGAGGUGAAAUUCUUGGAUUUAUGAAAGACGAACUACUGCGAAAGCAUUUACCAAGGAUGUUUUCAUUAA
rnacentral:rRNA from 1 species